rnacentral:rRNA from 1 species
GACGAACGCUGGCGGCAUGCUUAACACAUGCAAGUCGAACGGAAAGGCCCUGCUUUUGUGGGGUGCUCGAGUGGCGAACGGGUGAGUAACACGUGAGUAACCUGCCCUUGACUUUGGGAUAACUUCAGGAAACUGGGGCUAAUACCGGAUAGGAGCUCCUGCUGCAUGGUGGGGGUUGGAAAGUUUCGGCGGUUGGGGAUGGACUCGCGGCUUAUCAGCUUGUUGGUGGGGUAGUGGCUUACCAAGGCUUUGACGGGUAGCCGGCCUGAGAGGGUGACCGGCCACAUUGGGACUGAGAUACGGCCCAGACUCCUACGGGAGGCAGCAGUGGGGAAUAUUGCGCAAUGGGCGGAAGCCUGAUGCAGCAACGCCGCGUGCGUGAUGACGGCCUUCGGGUUGUAAACCGCUUUCGCCUGUGACGAAGCGUGAGUGACGGUAAUGGGUAAAGAAGCACCGGCUAACUACGUG